rnacentral:tRNA from 1 species
GCCACGGUCGUCUAGCGGUUAGAACGCUGGUCUUGUAAUCCUGGGGUCUCGGGUUCGAUUCCCGGCGGUGCCC